AAUGCACACUGUUAAAACCAGGCACUUCGAUAGUGUUUUGGUGUCGGAAGUGUGCGAGAGUAAGUUGGCCGGGGUUUCGCUAACACCAUGAGGACGUCGGUCCUAUGACUGGGGUUUGAUAGUGACCUGAGCCACAGUU